rnacentral:rRNA from 1 species
UACAGGGGGGGCAAGCGUUGUUCGGAAUUACUGGGCGUAAAGGGCUCGUAGGUGGCCAACUAAGUCGGACGUGAAAUCCCUCGGCUUAACCGGGGAACUGCGUCCGAUACUGGAUGACUUGAGUUCGGGAGAGGGAUGCGGAAUUCCAGGUGUAGCGGUGAAAUGCGUAGAUAUCUGGAGGAACACCGGUGGCGAAGGCGGCAUCCUGGACCGACACUGACGCUGAGGAGCGAAAGCCAGGGGAGCAAACGGG